rnacentral:sRNA from 1 species
GCUGGGACUAUAGGCAUGUGCCACUGUGCCUGGCUAGUUUUUGUAGUUUAGUAGAGACGGAGUUUCACCUUGUUGGCCAGGCUGGUCUUGAACUCCUGACCUCAAGGGAUCCACCCAUGUCGGCCUCCCAAAGUGCUGGGAUUACAGGCGUGAGCCACUGUGCCAGGCCCUGCUUUAUUCUUCUCUUGCAUGACCAAAGGAUACUUUCUAACUUAGCAAAUCCUGGCACAAUACUCACAUUGCUCUCAACUAGAGUGCCUUAUGACUUCCCACUAUAUGCAUUCAAAGUCAUAUGCAAAUAUGCUGAAGAAUCCUCUGCAUGCAGAAAAAAUAAAACCAUUUUUUCACAUUCUUACAAAUGAAGUAUCCCCUUUGGGCCUGUGAUGAAUCACGUGUGUAUCACAAAAGAAUGCAACUUAGCCACAGACUGGUAGAUUGUCUUUGAUAAUCAAAAUGAAGAGGGUUUCCCAGCUUUGACCGGCAUCAUUAAAUGUCAGAGCAAAGCAUUUGUUGUUCCUGAAGGUCUUGUUCAAAAGCAAAUCAACUAUGAAUUGUGGCAAAUUGUAUUGCUGCUUCCUAGAAAGAGCAUGGUUUAUUUAUAUGUUUUGAUUCCUUCCUGGUAUGGUGUGUAUUAUAAAGGGAAUUCAGCAAGGCAGGCCAUAAUGGAGGAAGAACAUUUUUACUGGAGUAGGUUUUUUUGUGUGUGAAACAGUUUAAACCUUCCUCCAUUCUGCUCUGCUUGCAUUCUGAUACUAGCCAGAGCCUGUUUAAAAUACUUGUGGCCAAUGUUUAUUAUACUGUGGUUCCCCUGUAGUAUGUAAAUUGGUUAUUAAGUACUGUGGUUAUAAAUCACUUGGAGAGCCCCAUAACAUUUUUACUGGCUUGUUCUGUUCUGUGUUCCUAUUCAUAGGAUAUCAAUAACGAGAGUGACAGCUGACAUUUCUCUUGCUAAGAGGUCUGUCCUAAAUAAUCCCAGCAAGAGAGCAAUAAUUGAACGUUCGAACACCCGGUCCAGCUUAGCGGAAGUACAAAGUGAAAUUGAAAGAAUCUUUGAGUUGGCAAGAUCUUUGCAACUGGUUGUUCUUGAUGCAGACACCAUCAAUCACCCAGCACAACUUAUAAAGACUUCCUUAGCACCAAUUAUUGUUCAUGUAAAAGUCUCAUCUCCAAAGGUUUUACAGCGGUUGAUUAAAUCUAGAGGAAAGUCACAAAGUAAACACUUGAAUGUUCAACUGGUGGCAGCUGAUAAACUUGCACAAUGCCCCCCAGAAAUGUUUGAUGUUAUAUUGGAUGAAAAUCAGCUUGAGGACGCGUGUGAACAUCUAGGGGAGUACCUGGAGGCGUACUGGCGUGCCACCCACACAACCAGUAGCACACCCAUGACCCCACUGCUGGGAAGGAAUUUGGGCUCCACAGCACUUUCACCAUAUCCCACAGCAAUUUCUGGGUUACAGAGUCAGCGAAUGAGGCACAGCAACCACUCCACAGAGAACUCUCCAAUUGAAAGACGAAGUCUAAUGACCUCUGAUGAAAAUUAUCACAAUGAAAGGGCUCGGAAGAGUAGGAACCGCUUGUCUUCCAGUUCUCAGCAUAGCCGAGAUCAUUACCCUCUUGUGGAAGAAGAUUACCCUGACUCAUACCAGGACACUUACAAACCCCAUAGGAACCGAGGAUCACCUGGGGGAUAUAGCCAUGACUCCCGACAUAGGCUUUGAGUCUAAUGAAACAAAAAAUAUUCAUCUGUUGACAAUUUGCCAUAGCAGUGCUAGGAUAAACCAAUCAUCUUAACUUGGCUAACAUAGCACAGUAUUUACUGUGCUAAUGGGCUGCUGUCAUUUUAUGCUAAGUAAGGGGCAAAAAAAAAAAAAUUACGUUAUGCCCUUGAGUCUAGAUGGAUAUUAGAUGCCCGAUCAUAUAGAUAUUUUUAAGUGCAACAUUUACAUGAUAACAGUACAUUUUGUUUUCUUCAUAGAUUUAGACACAUCAAUUUGUAAUUUAGGGUACUUACAAGGCACAUAUAAAAUAAUUUCCCAUGCCGGAAAUUCCAAAUGACCAGUUCCAGUUGGAACCAAUUUAUAAACCAAUUCCUGUUGGAAUUUGGGUGAACUGACUAGAAAGUCUACUUGAGCAUGUUGUAAUCAAUUGAAAAAUCUGGGAAAGAAAAAAAAACUAAUAAGAAAAUCGAAAUACCGAUAGAAGCCAAAUCCAGCUUUGGUAUUUAUUUGCUGGAAGCUAAAUUUACACUUAAAGUUGGAGUGUAUAAACAUUUUAAUAUAUGUUAAUGUUGCCAGAAUGACUUUUCAAACUUACCAAAUGUAUUGAUAGUGCCAAAAAAAAAAAUCUCAGAAAUCUUAAUGCAGAAAUUAUAUAGUCUCCUCAGAUUUUAAUAUUUUUAUUUCUUUCCUGGCACAGCUGUUGUAUUCAAAGUGUUUUGCUUUUUGUUUAGUCAGUACUGUUAGCUCAUUUGAAGUUGGCAAAAACAAAUACAAACAAGCAAAAAAACCUCAAAUUUUUUUCAGCAGUGAGAGAGAAUAGUAAAGAGAGGCCCAAGCAUAGCUGGUUAUGUGAAAUAUAAAAUGGGGUGUUGUUCUCCCUUUAAUCAGUCUGAGCACAAUUACAUACAUCCAGGAAUCUGAAGUCAGAUAGUGAGGAUGUGGUACCAAUCCUCCCGAGUGCAAUGCUAAACACUUCCAGGUAGGAAUUCAUCUAUUUCACUUAACACAAACGCAGGGUCAGUAUUUCCUGCCAACAAAAUUGAGUAUCUUUCCAUUGCUUCUCUCAGUCUCUGUCUUUGAAUAUCUGAAUGUUCUGGCCCUUCAACAAAUUCUUUAAAUCAUGCUAAGGAAUUUCGUUUUAUGUGGACACAUUCAACUUUGAUAUUCAGGAGGUGUUUUUACAAAAUGACUAAUUGAAAAAAGCUGAAACAAAUGAUUUUAAAAGCUUGCAGUAAAAAAUAAACUCAUAGAUUCAGCAAAUAUUUGUUGACUAAAAUUAUAGCAUUUUUAAUGCAGAAAAUUAUAAAGAAUUUGGAGAUUGAGCUGCCUUAUUUCUAAUGAACACUCCUCUUCAUCUUAUUAAGUCUUCACAGUUUUUCCAGUGGCUAUAAUUAUGGAAUUGGUGACCUAUGUUUUAUAUUAUCAAGGAAGCCUUAGAUUCACUAUGAUCCAAGAAAUUAUUGAAAUUGACCCUUUUUACACAAAUGUCUUUUAAAAAAAAGCUUGUUUCUAAAUGUCCACAGUGCAUGCAUUUUCUAAAACCCCAAUAAGUCCAGCCAUAAAAGUCCUUUUCUGCUAGUACAUGUCAUGAAGCCUAUUUUUGAAAAUAAUGAUAAUUAAUUUUAUAGUAUCUUCUUUUCUCCCCAAGCCUUUCAAUAUUUAGGCACUCAAAGCAUGCACCAGUUCAGUAAUCUUCUUGACCAUGGAAAUAAGUUCCACAUUACUGAUGAGUUAUAUAUAUAUCUUGAACCCCAUUACAACCUCACCACAUCCCCCUGCAUUUAUGUUCACUGUUUGUACCCCAUUAUGAACCUGUUUAGCUGAUAAUGAGGAUACCUAUAAUUCUGUAAGUCAUUUCAAAUAUUUGAUAUGAUUAAAAAAUAUGGGCUUAGUAAAUUUUAAAAGUUAACAUGUGAUACUGGCUUGUGAGAUUCUUCUGUCAUCUAGUGAAGCUUAUAAAACUUUCAGUUAAGACAUUUUAAAAGAGUUAUAUCCAUUAGGCACUUUAAUAAACAUAUAACCUGCCAUUACUGAAUACUUUGUUAGAACACAGAAGAGCAUCUUCCAGCAAACAAAAAUAUAUUUAUUACAUGUACAGCACAUACUUGCAUGAGAAAGAAAACAUUAGCCAAAACAUUUUUCUAUAUGCUUUACUGGUUUCUUGUUUGUGCGCAUUAAAGUAUUUAAUUGCAAAGAGUGCACCAAGGUGUACAAAUUUAGACUAGACAGCUGUUCAGCUUUUUCUGUAGUAGCAUUAGCAAUUUGGUCAUUUAACUACUUUAAGAUAUUUACAUUUUAUGGCAGGUA